rnacentral:rRNA from 1 species
GACGAACGCUGGCGGCGUGCCUAAUACAUGCAAGUAGAACGCUGAAGGAGGAGCUUGCUCCUCUGGAUGAGUUGCGAACGGGUGAGUAACGCGUAGGUAACCUGCCUGGUAGCGGGGGAUAACUAUUGGAAACGAUAGCUAAUACCGCAUAACAGUAGAUAUCGCAUGAUAUCUACUUGAAAGGUGCAAUUGCAUCACUACCAGAUGGACCUGCGUUGUAUUAGCUAGUUGGUGAGGUAACGGCUCACCAAGGCGACGAUACAUAGCCGACCUGAGAGGGUGAUCGGCCACACUGGGACUGAGACACGGCCCAGACUCCUACGGGAGGCAGCAGUAGGGAAUCUUCGGCAAUGGACGGAAGUCUGACCGAGCAACGCCGCGUGAGUGAAGAAGGGUUUCGGAUCGUAAAGCUCUGUUGUAAGAGAAGAACGAGUGUGAGAGUGGAAAGUUCACACUGUGACGGUAUCUGACCAGAAAGGGACGGCUAACUACGUG